CUGAGCAGCUGCUGAGUUACAAAUGACACACCUGGGAGCUGGGGUUAAGGUGUUCUGUGGAGCCUGUUGCCUUGGGAGCUGAUGGGAACCUGCACUGCUGGGCAAGGAGGAACAAAGCCACCAGGUCACCUGUCUGCCUGGGGAUGAUGCUAAAGAGCUGGACAACAACUUUGUUACCAAAACUCAGCCCAUUUUGAAAGUUGUCCACAGCACUAGGAAACCUUGAGGCACAGAGAGCUGAAUACCUGGGCUGCAGGUUGGUGUUUGAAAAUGAGAUGCCUGUUCCCAUCAGAGUAAAACUGAAGGCACGGUGUUACUCUCUGUCACAACGCCUAGGCUGAUCA
rnacentral:lncRNA from 1 species